UUAAUAUACCGGUUCUCGUUAGAUCACCGAAGUCAAGCAUCAUUGGGCGCGGUCAGUACUUGGGUGGGUGACCACCUGGGAACACCGCGUGCCGCUG
rnacentral:rRNA from 1 species